rnacentral:rRNA from 1 species
CCUACGGGUGGCAGCAGUAGGGAAUAUUGCUCAAUGGGGGAAACCCUGAAGCAGCAACGCCGCGUGGAGGAUGAAGGUUUUAGGAUUGUAAACUCCUUUUGUGAGAGAAGAUAAUGACGGUAUCUCACGAAUAAGCACCGGCUAACUCCGUGCCAGCAGCCGCGGUAAUACGGAGGGUGCAAGCGUUACUCGGAAUCACUGGGCGUAAAGAGUGCGCAGGCGGGCUUGUAAGUCAGAUGUGAAAUCCUGUAGCUUAACUACAGAACUGAAUUUGAUACUGUGAGUCUAGAGUGUGGGAGAGGUAGGGGGAAGGAAUGGUGUAGAGGUAAAAUCAGUAGAGAGCAAAAAGAAUAAUGAGUGCGAAGG